rnacentral:rRNA from 1 species
GAUGAACGCUGGCGGCGUGCCUAAUACAUGCAAGUCGAGCGAACAGACGAGGAGCUUGCUCCUCUGACGUUAGCGGCGGACGGGUGAGUAACACGUGGAUAACCUACCUAUAAGACUGGGAUAACUUCGGGAAACCGGAGCUAGUACCGGAUAAUAUAUUGAACCGCAUGGUUCAAUAGUGAAAGACGGUUUUGCUGUCACUUAUAGAUGGAUCCGCGCCGCAUUAGCUAGUUGGUAAGGUAACGGCUUACCAAGGCAACGAUGCGUAGCCGACCUGAGAGGGUGAUCGGCCACACUGGAACUGAGACACGGUCCAGACUCCUACGGGAGGCAGCAGUAGGGAAUCUUCCGCAAUGGGCGAAAGCCUGACGGAGCAACGCCGCGUGAGUGAUGAAGGUCUUCGGAUCGUAAAACUCUGUUAUUAGGGAAGAACAAAUGUGUAAGUAACUAUGCACGUCUUGACGGUACCUAAUCAGAAAGCCACGGCUAACUACGCG